rnacentral:rRNA from 1 species
AGAUUGAACGCUGGCGGCAGGCCUAACACAUGCAAGUCGAGCGGCAGCACGGGUACUUGUACCUGGUGGCGGGCGGCGGACGGGUGAGUAAUGCCUAGGAAUCUGCCUGGUAGUGGGGGAUAACGCUCGGAAACGGACGCUAAUACCGCAUACGUCCUACGGGAGAAAGCAGGGGACCUUCGGGCCUUGCGCUAUCAGAUGAGCCUAGGUCGGAUUAGCUAGUUGGUGAGGUAAUGGCUCACCAAGGCGACGAUCCGUAACUGGUCUGAGAGGAUGAUCAGUCACACUGGAACUGAGACACGGUCCCGACUCCUACGGGAGGCAGCAGUGGGGAAUAUUGGACAAUGGGCGAAAGCCUGAUCCAGCCAUGCCGCGUGUGUGAAGAAGGUCUUCGGAUUGAAAGCUACUUUAAGUGGAGGAAGGCAGUUACCUAAUACGUAUCUGUUUGACGUUACGACAAGAAUAAGCAACCGGCUAACUCUGUGCCAGCAGCCG